CAGAGCAGCAGGACUGCAGACACCAUACUGUGGGUAAGACUGAGCCCAGGGAGGGCUGUUGAAGACUGGGGAAGUGAAGAAGGAGCUUCUGGCAGGCUUCAGGGACUGAGCCCAGAACCUAGCCAGACCAACUGAGGAUUAAGCCCAUGCAGCUGAGGCCAAAGUGAAAAUCCAGAACUGUUGGAUACACUUGGUGGAUGCACCAUCUGGUAUCUCUUGUUCCUUUUCUAACCAUCCUGUUACAGAAAAGCAAAUAAGACUGGCAACACGAGUGCUGGGAAGACAGACUUUGAACUGAGGAGAUUGGUCCCAGGCUGAGAAGGAAAUUCAGGAACAAUAACAUGCCUGCAACAUCCAGUGGGUUUCAGAAAGAGACAUUUCUUGAAUUGCAACUGCAAAGUGAACAGAAGUGGCUUUAAAUCCAAAAGGAUUUCCUAAAAAGCCACCUGGAUCAGGAAGACACAGCACACCGAAGAAGACGGAAAACGGUUGGUGGGAAGCAAUGUUUAUACAACAAAAGGAUUUGUGGCAAAAUAAAGCCUAGCCAGUGCAUACCAAUCCCCAGCUUCUUGUAGGAGUAAUUGUAUGAAAUGGGUGAGAAGUGGAAGUGGAGCUGUGGACAUGAGAAGCAAUGAGUUUUUCAAUUAAAGAGUACCUAGAGCAAUCACUACCCAUGUGUCAAAUAGCGUAUGUAGGAUUUUUGUUUUCGAUAUUGUUGGUUAGAUUAACUCUAGCAACUUUCCUUUGCGCUUCUUGUGCUUACACUAGGAUUUUGUCAGAUACUGUAUCAAAAGGUUUUAAGUUACCUGGCUGGAGGAUAAAAUUGAACAGACGUGGAUGGAAUGCUCUGAUUUGGUGCAUACAGGACAACAUUUGGAAGUCGUCUCUGCUUGAGUCUAGUGCCUCCCUGGGGAUACUUGGAGAUAUUUUGGACCCUGUAUCUUCCUGUCCAUAAGGUUGUGCUACUAGUAUGUAAUACUCUUGAAUGUCCAGGUACUAUUGGAUAAUCAUGUCUAAGUGUCUAAGAAGACUACCUCCCACCCCCACAUUUUUAUACGGCCUGGAGACUGGUGGCUUUGUUGCUAUAAUCUAGCCUUAAAUUACUACAAAAGACUAUAUUUGGGACCACAUUUCAAAUAAACAAAGCAUCUGGAAUUGGUGCAGAAUAUAGCAGGUCUCAUAUCACCUGGUGUAUCUUUUCAUAGUUGUGGUCAGCAGAAGCACUCCAACUGAAGUCCCCUUGGUAUGAAAGAGGGAGCUGCUGGAAGGGGUCCUCCUAUGAAGAACCCUCACUUUUGGGACCUGCUAUCCACAUUGGCCCAAAAAUUGCCUAAAGGUGUUGACUUUCAGGGAACAUUGCAAAGCUAAUCUUUUUACCCAGGGAGCAAUGUGAUGAGGGCUGGCAUUUGUGACUGAGGCAGGGUCUUGUUGCCAUUUUCAUGAGGAGAAACUCCUGGUUUUCUUUCUUUGCAUUGUAUUUUUAACCAUGUUAAAGAUGACUAAAGCUCUGGAUAGGCAUUUUUAAAAUGGGUUAUAAAUGUACAUAAACAAAAAGCCUGAGAUGUCUCAUAGUUUUGGAUGAGAAUGCCACACUUGGGUCUGAGACACUCUGUUUAUUAAUUCAAACCUUGUUUUAACCAUAAGCAUUCCUUGUGAUUACAAUUCUUAUUAAAGUAAGAAAUGACAGAGAAAAAAGCAGUGGCCUGUUACCUUCUCCUGGAGAUAGGUGGGUCAUGAUGGAGCUUCAUAGGAGAAAUCCAUCUGCCUCUUACAACCUUCCACAUAUUAUACACAUCCAAAUUAGAUAUUCAUUAGCUCUUUUCCAAUCACCAUUAUCUAACUCAUACAAGACACGUGUGAAUUUUGAAUGACAAUUUUUGCUGUCUUUGCUAUAUUCAUGUUAAUAUUUCUUUUUGAUUGGUUUAUUACCACUGCUUAGGCACUCAUUGUACAUAUUUUGGCCGGGUCACUUUGACCUGUUUCUCUGCAUAGGAAGUUUGUGCCUGUUUUUCUCUAAUUGCGUCUUGAGAUCACAUUUUAUGUAUCUGUUGUCUGCCAGUAACUCCAUUCCAUGUAAUAUUCUCCCACUUAGGCACAUUGUGUGGCUAUACAGCACCUAUAAACAAGUUUACUUAAUAACAAGGUCACUAAGGCAACAUUUCACUCAAACUAGACCAAAGCUAGCCUUACUGUCCAAACUUGGGCAUUAGACAUGAUCCUUUAAAAAUAAA